rnacentral:lncRNA from 10 species
AAUAGCAAAGACAUGGACUCAACCUAGCUGCCCAUCAACAGUGGAUUGGAUAAAGAACACGUGGAUUCCCAGAAAGUGUUGAAUAGCAGUGAUGAAAAGCAGGCUGUCUCAUUCCUGAUGUCAAAGAGAAAGCUUUCAGUAUUUCACCAAUAUGUAUGAAGCUGCUAUAGGGUUUUGUUUUUUUGAGAUGGAGUCUUGCUCUAUCACCCAGGCUGGAGUGCAGUGGCGCAAUCUCAGCUGACUGCAGCCCCCACCUCCCAAGUUCAAGUGAUUCUCCUGCCUCAGCCUCCUGAGUAGCUGGGACCAUAGGCAUGCGCCACCACACCCAGCUAAUUUUUUGUUUUCUGAAGACAUAUAUUUUCAGAUUAAAGAAGUUACCUCUAUUCCUAAGUUUUCUUAAUAAUCAUUGGAUCUUGUCAAGUGUUUGUUCUGUAUCUUCUAAGAUAAUCAUAUUUUUUCUUUAUUCUUUCAUGUUAUAAGUUACCUUAAUAUUAAAGCAACUUUGGUGUAAAAGUAACUUGAUUGAGAUAUAUGUAUAUUGUUUUAUAAAUCAAUAGAUUUAAUUUGCAAAUGUUUUAUUUAGAAUUUUUGCAUCUUAGUUCACAGAAAGAUUGAGUAUACUUUCUUACAAUGUCUUUGUUACGUUUGGGUAUGAAGGUUAUGUUGGCCUUAUAAAACACGUUAAGCAGAAUUACUCUUUUUCUACUCUCUGGGAUAAUUUAAGAAUGAUGCUUUUUUAAAUGAAGGUUUGAGCAUCUAGGCUUAGCGAUUUCCAUUUGGGAAGAUAUUCAACUUAUUUUAAUGGUUAUAAGACUACUCAGAUUUUCCAUAUCUUGUUGUAUUAUUCUUGCUAAGCUUUUAUUUUCUAGCACUUUGUCCAUUUUAUCUACCUCUUCAAAAUUAUUCACAUAAAGUUCUUUGUAAUAUCCUCCUAUUUUCUUACUAAUUUUGUAGAAUCUGCAGUGAUGUCCCCUUUUUCAUUUCUGAUAGUAGUAAUUUUGUGCCUUCACUCUUUUUCUUUCCCCAAUCAGUCUUGCUAGAAGCUUAUCAAUUUGUUAAUCUUUCCAAAUAACCAAAUUUGGCAUUUUUUAUUCUAUUGUAUGUUUGUUUUUUACUCCUUUAAUUUCUGUUUUCAUCUUCAUUUUUUCCUUUUUUUUUUUUUUACAUUCUCUGGGCCCAAUUUUCUGUAGCAUUUCUAAUUUCUUUAAAAUGACACUUUGAUCAUGACUUUUUCAGUGAAAUAAUAUAAGCAUUUUAAGGCUAAAAAUUUUCCUUUCUGCAUGGUUUUAGUUAUAUUCUACAAUAAGUUGUGCUGUAUCGUAUUUUCAUUAUCAUUCAGCUGAAAAUAUUUUCUAGUUUUCAUUGUACUGUCCUCUUUGACCUUUGUGUAAUUAGUAGUGUAUUUCCAAACCUUUGGGCAUUUUAUUGUUAUUGCUCUGUUGUUAUUUAGCUUAACUGCACUGAGGCCUAAGAACAUAUCUGUACAAUUUUUAUCUUGUAAAAUGUGUCAAGAAAUGCUAUAUGGUUCUGCAUAUGUGCAAUAUUGAUGAUGUUCCAUGCUCUGCAGUUGCUGGUUACAGUAUUCUAUCUGUGG